GGGGAAGGCCAUACUGCAGUCGAGCGAGCUUGCCUAGAUGAUUUUAGUGCUUGCACUAAAUGAAACUAGUUACAAGCGAGCGGCGGACGGGUGAGUAACACGUGGGUAACCUGCCCAAGAGACUGGGAUAACACCUGGAAACAGAUGCUAAUACCGGAUAACAACACUAGACGCAUGUCUAGAGUUUGAAAGAUGGUUCUGCUAUCACUCUUGGAUGGACCUGCGGUGCAUUAGCUAGUUGGUAAGGUAACGGCUUACCAAGGCAAUGAUGCAUAGCCGAGUUGAGAGACUGAUCGGCCACAUUGGGACUGAGACACGGCCCAAACUCCUACGGGAGGCAGCAGUAGGGAAUCUUCCACAAUGGACGAAAGUCUGAUGGAGCAACGCCGCGUGAGUGAAGAAGGGUUUCGGCUCGUAAAGCUCUGUUGGUAGUGAAGAAAGAUAGAGGUAGUAACUGGCCUUUAUUUGACGGUAAUUACUUAGAAAGUCACGGCUAACUACGUGCCAGCAGCCGCGGUAAUACGUAGGUGGCAAGCGUUGUCCGGAUUUAUUGGGCGUAAAGCGAGUGCAGGCGGUUCAAUAAGUCUGAUGUGAAAGCCUUCGGCUCAACCGGAGAAUUGCAUCAGAAACUGUUGAACUUGAGUGCAGAAGAGGAGAGUGGAACUCCAUGUGUAACGGUGGAAUGCGUAGAUAUAUGGAAGAACACCAGUGGCGAAGGCGGUUCUCUGGUCUGCAACUGACGCUGAGGCU
rnacentral:rRNA from 1 species